GGUUUUACCAGUACUCCCUUAUUGGUAACAAUCUCCCCCUUUUUGAUGAUGAUCAAAAAUCCUGUUUUAAAAGCAACUCAGUUUUUCCUGCAGCACAUACAAACUAAAAACAGCCACAGAGUUAGCAGUACCUGUUCAAUUUUUAUUUCUCCCCUUAAUAAAUUUCUUCUCCACCUUUUUGAUCAUAAGCAAAAAGAAUAAUGAAAAAAUCUCCCCCUUAAAAUGAGCUCCCCCUCAAAAAAUGCAUGAAAUUGUUAUAAAAGCUCAUUAUAUUAAAAAUAGAAGGAAAUUACAUGAAAAUGCAUAAAGAUUAAGUCUAAAUACCACAAAGAAA
rnacentral:lncRNA from 1 species